GACGAACGCUGGCGGCGUGCUUAACACAUGCAAGUCGAACGAUGAAGCCUAGCUUGCUAGGUGGAUUAGUGGCGAACGGGUGAGUAAUACGUGAGUGACCUACCUUUGACUCUGGGAUAAGCCUGGGAAACUGGGUCUAAUACCGGAUACGACCAAUCUCCGCAUGGGGUGUUGGUGGAAAGCGUUAUGGAGUGGUUUUAGAUGGGCUCACGGCCUAUCAGCUUGUUGGUGAGGUAAUGGCUUACCAAGGCGACGACGGGUAGCCGGCCUGAGAGGGUGACCGGCCACACUGGGACUGAGACACGGCCCAGACUCCUACGGGAGGCAGCAGUGGGGAAUAUUGCACAAUGGGCGCAAGCCUGAUGCAGCGACGCCGCGUGAGGGGUGACGGCCUUCGGGUUGUAAACCUCUGUUAGCAUCGAAGAAGCGAAAGUGACGGUAGGUGCAGAGAAAGCGCCGGCUAACUACGUG
rnacentral:rRNA from 1 species